GAGUUUGAUCUUGGCUCAGAUUGAACGCUGGCGGCAGGCCUAACACAUGCAAGUCGGGCGGUAGAGAGAAGCUUGCUUCUCUUGAGAGCGGCGGACGGGUGAGUAAUGCCUAGGAAUCUGCCUGGUAGUGGGGGAUAACGCUCGGAAACGGACGCUAAUACCGCAUACGUCCUACGGGAGAAAGCAGGGGACCUUCGGGCCUUGCGCUAUCAGAUGAGCCUAGGUCGGAUUAGCUAGUUGGUGAGGUAAUGGCUCACCAAGGCGACGAUCCGUAACUGGUCUGAGAGGAUGAUCAGUCACACUGGAACUGAGACACGGUCCAGACUCCUACGGGAGGCAGCAGUGGGGAAUAUUGGACAAUGGGCGAAAGCCUGAUCCAGCCAUGCCGCGUGUGUGAAGAAGGUCUUCGGAUUGUAAAGCACUUUAAGUUGGGAGGAAGGCAGUAAAUUAAUACUUUGCUGUUUGACGUUACCGACAGAAUAAGCACCGGCUAACUCUGUGCCAGCAG
rnacentral:rRNA from 1 species